rnacentral:rRNA from 1 species
UACGUAGGGUGCAAGCGUUAAUCGGAAUUACUGGGCGUAAAGCGUGCGCAGGCGGCUUUGCAAGACAGAUGUGAAAUCCCCGGGCUCAACCUGGGAACUGCAUUCCAAACUGCCGAGCUAGAGUGUGGUAGAGGGAGGUAGAAUUUCCUGUGUAGCGGUGAAAUGCGUAGAUAUAGGAAGGAAUACCAGUGGCGAAGGCGGCCUCCUGGAUCAACACUGACGCUGAGGUGCGAAAGCGUGGGGAGCAAACAGG